UGCAGUGGCCUAGACUUCUUGGGGAGGAGAGGGAGCUAGCAUAAAACCACCCUGGCGUUACAUGUGUGUCAGCCUGGAGUUUAGAGAACAGCUGGGGGCAGAGGGGUGGAGUGAGGUGGCAGCUACAGAGAGAAGGGGAGGCAGGAGUCCUGAGUCACACGACCAUUCAUGAGGCUGAGAAAGGGGAGCAGGAAGAGACGUGGCAGGAGAUGCUUGCCAAGGAGGGUGGCAGACAGGCUCUUCCAAGAAAUGUGCCGAUGUCCGAAAUGGCAGGUGACCAGUUCAGUGUAAUGCAGAACAUUCUGGCUUCUAGAACUCACUUGUGCAGAUACCAUAACUCCAAGAUAUCUCCUUUUUUCAUUAAAAGAAAUUCUGACAACUCUAGUGUCUACAGACAUACAGAUUUCUCUCUCCUUUUCCUCAGACCACCAAUAACACAAAAAAGCAUUUAAUGAAGGCCAAGGGGAGAGUUCUUCACUAGCCUUCUGCUCAUUCUCUCACUUCCUCUUUUAUUCUGACUGAACAAACUCUGACAAUU